rnacentral:rRNA from 1 species
UCUAGUCUGACUGUGUGAAAAGACAUGAGAGGUGUAGCAUAAGUGGGAGGCCUUGAACCCUCGUGGUUGUGUCGUGCCGACAGUGAAAUACCACCACUUUCAUCGUAUCUUUACUUACUCGGUGAAACGAUAUAUUUUGUGUUUCGAAUUUUGUAUUUCGACAAAAAAGAAGCUUUUUAGCGGCUCUGACCAGUAGUAAGCCCAGGA